AAUAAAGUUUUCCAUCUCUCUUAUUUACCUCUCUCUACAGAACGACCAGAUUCAACUCAACCACUAUUCAACUAUCAACUCCAAAUAAAAGGUUAUAUUUUGUUGACUGAGAUGAUGAUGGUUAUAUUUUGUUGACUAAGAUGAUGAUGAUGAUGGAUGCCCCGAUUCAACUCCACCACCACCGCUGCCAUACCCUUCUCUCUAUAUCAUUCUCUCUCUGACCCGAUUCAUCUCUCUCACGGUGGCGGUAAACAGAACGACCGUCGCUCCGGCGACGUGGUGACGAUGAUAAUGUUCAUUGAGAUGAAGAUGACGAUGGAUGCCCCGAUUCAACUCUACCACCACUGCCGCCAUACCCUUCUCUCUCUGACCCGAUCCGCCUCCCACAACCACGCUUGAAUUUCAAUUGAAGUUGUGCAUACAGUCAUUGGCGGUGAAGGCAAAAAUGGGAGGCAGUUGCAUCCAACUUGAAAUUAUUAAUUAUGAACUAUGGCUGGCUGGCUCGAACAUGCACAACAUAUACAUGCAUGGCAUGGUUCGGAUUAUCGGGCGAAUCCAAACGCACUCCACAUAUGGCUUUGUUUUGUUGUUAGAGCGUUGGUCUAAGCGAUUUGGUCCACUCCCCAGGACUUGGUCCGGAAGCUAAAGAUGGGCUCUACACACAAAAACAUUUUUAUUUCUAUAUGAAAAUUGUAAGGUGAGGUUAAGGAAAGAUGAUUGAUGUUGUGGGUAAAAUAAAGUUUUUUAGUAAGUUUGAAAACUCAUGUGGUAUGUUGAUGUGGAGUUUUGUGGGUUCUUGCAUUGUGAAUGCUCUUAAAUUAAGGAUCACACAAAUUCGUACAA